CGUCAUACCCGACACGCCAGAAAAGCAAGUCAGACAACCGGCUAACACUAAAGAAGCUGACACUGACGGAGGACCAUCUGGAUCCGAAAUUAGCAUACCAGAAGCACCAGAGAAAGCCGUGACUGACGACUCCAGGCCAUACCCCAGACUGAAGCAUUCCACUAGAAGAAGCGGCAGGAGGAAUACGAGGAGAUCAGCUUCAGGACAUCGGGGUCUAUCGAGAG